rnacentral:rRNA from 1 species
CCUACGGGAGGCAGCAGUGAGGAAUAUUGGUCAAUGGACGAGAGUCUGAACCAGCCAAGUAGCGUGAAGGAGGACUGCCCUAUGGGUUGUAAACUUCUUUUAUAGGGGAAUAAAAUGCUGCACGUGUGGGAUGUUGUAUGUACCAUAUGAAUAAGGAUAGGCUAACUCCGGGCCAGCAGCCGCGGUAAUACGGAGGAGCCGAGCGUUAUCCGGCUUUAUGGGGUUUAAAGGGAGCGUAGGUGGAUUGUUAAGUCAGUUGUUAAAGUUUGCGGCUCAACCGUAAAAGUGCAGUUGAAACUGGCAGUCUUGAGUACAGUAGAGGUAGGCGGAAUUCGUGGUGUAGCUGUGAAAUGCUUAGAUAUCACGCAGAACUCCGAUUGCGAAGGCAGCUCACUGGACUGCAACUGACACUGAGGCUCGAAAGUGUGGGUAUCAAACAGGAUUAGAUACCCUUGUAGUC